GUCAGGCCGGAACCCAAGAUGGUGGCGCUCUUGUUGAGACAUGUUGGCCGUCAUUGCCUCCGUGCCCACCUUAGUCCUCAGCUCUGUAUCAGAAAUGCUGUUCCUUUGGGAACCACAGCCAAAGAAGAGAUAGAGAGGUUCUGGAGUAAGAACACUAGUUCAAACCGUCCUUUGUCGCCCCAUAUCAGCAUCUACAGCUGGUCUCUUCCCAUGGCGAUGUCCAUUUGCCACUGUGGCACUGGUAUUGACUUGAGUGCAGGAGUCUCUCUUUUUGGCUUGUCGGCCCUCUUGGUCCCCGGGAGCUUUGAGUCUCAUUUGGAAUUUGUGAAGUCCCUGUGUUUGGGGCCAGCACUGAUCCACACAGCCAAAUUUGCACUUGUCUUCCCUCUCAUGUAUCACACCUGGAAUGGGAUCACACGACAGCACCUUAAUUGAACUAUGUGGGAUCUAGGAAAAGGCCUGACGAUUUCCCAGCUACACCAGUCUGGAGUGGUUGUCUUGGUUCUUACUGUGUUGUCCUCGGUAGGGCUGGCAGCCAUGUGAAGAGCCGAAGUUCCCAGCGUCAUCAUCCUGCAAAUGAUCACAUUGACCUGUCUUCCUGUUUGUUACUCUUGUCUUUGGCCGGGGCAAAGUUAUCCUGAUUUGUUUAGACCCUUCUUUGCUUGCAGAUCCCCUUGGAGCUCAGCAGUAGAGUACGUUACAUAACCAAAGUGGUGGAAAAGGGUCCAGUUUUCCCCUUAUUUAUAAUGAUGGAAUGACUGCAAAAAACUUCCUUUUCUUGCCCCCAGCUUGCAGCCUACUCUGGGCUUGGGAGCCUUCUUUCUCUCUCCAUGUCAGGCCUUGAUUUAUGCUGAGGGUCAGCCUUUGGCUCCUUCUUCCUGAGACAGUGGAAACAAUGCCAGCUCUGUGGCCUCUGCCAUGGGGACUGGGAGUGGGGAUUCGGGUGCCACUGCCUGUGGGAUGCUGGCUCAAAGGACAAUUCUGUCCAUUUGUCAGAGCCCAGGGUCUUUAGCACCCACACAGUGUGACUGACUGAAGGAGAGGGGUGGGGGUGGAGGAGAAUUAGCCUGUCCCAGCUAGCGGGAGAUAAGAGUUAAGUUGGCUCUUGAAGCAGGUCUUGGGGAGAAGAUAUAUAGCUUUUGAUGCAAGAAGGAGAUCCAGAAAAUUAUCACUGAAUCUAUUGCAGGUUAUUUCUUUUCUUUGUGUUUCCAGAAAAACCAAACCUCUUACUGUCAUGUUUUCUAAUCCAGAAUCACAUGACAUCUUUUUCUGAAACUGAAUUAAAAUUAUUAUUUUGCCUUUGAAAAAAAAAAAA